GACGAACGCUGGCGGCGUGCCUAAUACAUGCAAGUAGAACGCUGAAGGAGGAGCUUGCUUCUCUGGAUGAGUUGCGAACGGGUGAGUAACGCGUAGGUAACCUGCCUUGUAGCGGGGGAUAACUAUUGGAAACGAUAGCUAAUACCGCAUAAUAGUAGAUGUCGCAUGACAUUUGCUUAAAAGUUGCAAUUGCAUCACUACCAGAUGGACCUGCGUUGUAUUAGCUAGUUGGUGAGGUAACGGCUCACCAAGGCAACGAUACAUAGCCGACCUGAGAGGGUGAUCGGCCACACUGGGAAUGAGACACGGCCCAGACUCCUACGGGAGGCAGCAGUAGGGAAUCUUCGGCAAUGGACGGAAGUCUGACCGAGCAACGCCGCGUGAGUGAAGAAGGUUUUCGGAUCGUAAAGCUCUGUUGUAAGAGAAGAACGAGUGUGAGAGUGGAAAGUUCACACUGUGACGGUAUCUUACCAGAAAGGGACGGCUAACUACGUG
rnacentral:rRNA from 1 species